CAGUCGAGGGGUAGAGUUAGCUUGCUAACUUGAGACCGGCGCACGGGUGCGUAACGCGUAUGCAAUCUACCUUUCACAAAGGGAUAGCCCAGAGAAAUUUGGAUUAAUACCUUAUAGUAUAUAUGAAUGGCAUCAUUUAUAUAUUAAAGAUUUAUCGGUGAAAGAUGAGCAUGCGUCCCAUUAGCUAGUUGGUAAGGUAACGGCUUACCAAGGCAACGAUGGGUAGGGGUCCUGAGAGGGAGAUCCCCCACACUGGUACUGAGACACGGACCAGACUCCUACGGGAGGCAGCAGUGAGGAAUAUUGGACAAUGGGCGCAAGCCUGAUCCAGCCAUGCCGCGUGCAGGAUGACGGUCCUAUGGAUUGUAAACUGCUUUUAUACGAGAAGAAACACUCCGACGUGUCGGAGCUUGACGGUAUCGUAAGAAUAAGGAUCGGCUAACUCCGUGCCAGCAGCCGCGGUAAUACGGAGGAUCCAAGCGUUAUCCGGAAUCAUUGGGUUUAAAGGGUCCGUAGGCGGUCAGAUAAGUCAGUGGUGAAAGCCCAUCGCUCAACGGUGGAACGGCCAUUGAUACUGUCUGACUUGAAUUAUUAGGAAGUAACUAGAAUAUGUAGUGUAGCGGUGAAAUGCUUAGAGAUUACAUGGAAUACCAAUUGCGAAGGCAGGUUACUACUAAUGGAUUGACGCUGAUGGACGAAAGCGUGGGUA
rnacentral:rRNA from 1 species